CGCGGGAUAGAGUACAGGUAACUCAACGGCCUCAUAAGCCGUGACAUGGGGGUUCGAAUCCCCCUCCCGCGACCA
rnacentral:tRNA from 1 species